rnacentral:rRNA from 1 species
CGCGUAGGUGGUAGUGAAAGUCUAUGGUGGAAUCUUAGGGCUUAACCCUAAAACUGCCUUGGAAACUUCAUUACUUGAGUCAGUGAGGGGAGGGUAGAAUUCCUGGUGUAGCGGUGAAAUGCGUAGAUAUCAGGAGGAAGGCCGGUGGCGAGGGCGGCCCUCUGGCGCUGAACUGACGCUGAGGCGCGAAAGCGUGGGUAGCAAACAGGAUUAGAUACCCUGGUAGUCCACGCCCUAAACGGUGGGUACUAGGUGUAGGGCUCGUAAGGGUUCUGUGCCGAAGGGAAACCAUUAAGUACCCCGCCUGGGGAGUACGGCCGCAAGGUUGAA